rnacentral:rRNA from 1 species
UACGGGGGGGGCAAGCGUUGUUCGGAAUUACUGGGCGUAAAGGGCGCGUAGGUGGCCUUCUAAGUUGAACGUGAAAUCCCUGGGCUCAACCCAGGAACUGCGUCCAAGACUGGGAGGCUUGAAUCCGGGAGAGGGAUGCGGAAUUCCAGGUGUAGCGGUGAAAUGCGUAGAUAUCUGGAGGAAUACCGGUGGCGAAGGCGGCAUCCUGGACCGGCAUUGACGCUGAACAGCGAAAGCUAGGGGAGCAAACGGG